rnacentral:lncRNA from 1 species
AAUCAUCCUAAUGUCCAUCCACUAUCAUCUAUCACAACAAUACAAUGCGGCAUAGUCGUGAAUUCUAAUGCAAACAACCUAUAAUAUGAUCAUGAUGCAUGAAGCAUGAUAAAAGCAUUUCAUUUCUUAAUUUAAAAGGUUAAGCUUAGUUCCACUCACCUCUGGCUGACUCUGACAAACUCUGUAGCAGCUGGCUCACUGCUGGGGUCCUUGGUUCCUCGGGUCCGAACCUACACAGGUGGACUCCAAUGAGGGACCAAACAU